GACGAACGCUGGCGGCGUGCUUAACACAUGCGAGUCGAACGGAAAGGCCCUGCUUUUGUGGGGUGCUCGAGUGGCGAACGGGUGAGUAACACGUGAGUAACCUGCCCUUGACUUUGGGAUAACUUCAGGAAACUGGGGCUAAUACCGGAUAGGAGCUCCUGCUGCAUGGUGGGGGUUGGAAAGUUUCGGCGGUUGGGGAUGGACUCGCGGCUUAUCAGCUUGUUGGUGGGGUAGUGGCUUACCAAGGCUUUGACGGGUAGCCGGCCUGAGAGGGUGACCGGCCACAUUGGGACUGAGAUACGGCCCAGACUCCUACGGGAGGCAGCAGUGGGGAAUAUUGCACAAGGGGCGGAAGCCUGAUGCAGCAACGCCGCGUGCGGGAUGACGGCCUUCGGGUUGUAAACCGCUUUCGCCUGUGACGAAGCGUGAGUGACGGUAAUGGGUAAAGAAGCACCGGCUAACUACGU
rnacentral:rRNA from 1 species